GCUUGCUCCUUGAUUCAGCGGCGGACGGGUGAGUAAUGCCUAGGAAUCUGCCUGGUAGUGGGGGACAACGUUUCGAAAGGAACGCUAAUACCGCAUACGUCCUACGGGAGAAAGCAGGGGACCUUCGGGCCUUGCGCUAUCAGAUGAGCCUAGGUCGGAUUAGCUAGUUGGUGGGGUAAUGGCUCACCAAGGCGACGAUCCGUAACUGGUCUGAGAGGAUGAUCAGUCACACUGGAACUGAGACACGGUCCAGACUCCUACGGGAGGCAGCAGUGGGGAAUAUUGGACAAUGGGCGAAAGCCUGAUCCAGCCAUGCCGCGUGUGUGAAGAAGGUCUUCGGAUUGUAAAGCACUUUAAGUUGGGAGGAAGGGCAGUAAGUUAAUACCUUGCUGUUUUGACGUUACCGACAGAAUAAGCACCGGCUAACUCUGUGCCAGCAGCCGCGGUAAUACAGAGGGUGCAAGCGUUAAUCGGAAUUACUGGGCGUAAAGCGCGCGUAGGUGGUUCGUUAAGUUGGAUGUGAAAGCCCCGGGCUCAACCUGGGAACUGCAUCCAAAACUGGCGAGCUAGAGUACGGU
rnacentral:rRNA from 1 species